rnacentral:rRNA from 1 species
AAUAUUGGACAAUGGGCGAAAGCCUGACCUAGCCAUGCCGUGUGAGUUAAGAAGGCCUUCUGGUAAUAAAGCUCUUUCUGACGGAAAGUAAUCACGCAGGCUACUACCCUGCGCUGAUCUCGGCACCAUCAUAAGAAACUCCCGACAACUACAUGCUAGCAGCCGCGGUAAUAUGUAUGGUGCGAACGUUAAUCGGAAUUACUGGGCGUAAAGCGUGCGCAGGCGGUUGAUUAAGACAGGCGUGAAAUCCCCGGGCUUAACCUGGGAACUGCGCUUGUGACUGGUCAGCUAGAGUACGGCAGAGGGGAGUGGAAUUCCACGUGUAGCAGUGAAAUGCGUAGAGAUGUGGAGGAACACCGAUGGCGAAGGCAGCCCCCUGGGCCGAUACUGACGCUCAUGCACGAAAGCGUGGGUAGCAAACAGG